CUCGUGCGCAUUAAUGCCUUCCCUCAGGGAAGGCACUAAUCUUGAGUGUUUUGCCUCCGCUCUAUGUUAUUUCUAUGGCGUAGCGAUUAUUUGAGCGGAAUGUGGAACAGAAAUCUGACAUCUCGUAAAAGAAGAGUUGAGUAAUGGAAAUGACAGGAGUGACUAGAAGAUAUUUGGCGAUCACGGUCGAAUGGCAGUUAAUACGAGAUAAUGCUGCAAAUAUUUUCAAGAAAACAUUAGCAUCCGAUAUACCAUCUUUAUGUUAAAGAUAAACAAUGAGUGCUGAAGAAUAAAUACAAGUGGCAAAAGGGUAAUUAAUUGGAUGUUUAUGGCAUGGAAAAGCAGAAUACAACAAUGACAAGACAUUAUUGACAAUUGCUUCUGUUCAUGAUAUUAGUGUAAUAGUGUUACCACUUUAUCAUUAUUUUUGUGAGCAUCGACAAUGGUUAAAAAGUGCAGAACAAGGAAGAAGAUAUUCAACAAAUUCACAUUUCUACUUUAUUAUUUUACAACACGUUACAUGUAACAUCAUUUGCCAAGAUGGUCUAAUAUGAUUGGUGCAUGCUUUAAAGGAUUUGUCAACCAAAUGCAGUCAACGAUAUCAAGAAAUAUGGAAAAAAUCUCAAUGGCUCAUAACUUUAUUCAAAUAGUAAAAUAGUCACGACGAGACGCAGUUAAAGCAAUGACAUUGUUAAUGAAAUUAACUAAGGAAAAGUAAAUAAUUGUAAUGAUACCUAUUUCCGAGGACUUUAUUGAUGUGUCAGUUUCCUAUUUACUAUUAAGAAAAAGUAAAGUUUUUACUUUUAUCUGAUAACUGUUUACAAAAAUUUGUAAUUAUUUAUUCAAAUUUAUUAUUUACUAAAACUAUAGCAAAUUUUAGGCCGAAAAAGAAAUAUUCAA